rnacentral:rRNA from 1 species
UAUCCGAAUACGACUAAGCUAUGCGAGUCUUGGGUUAAACCAAGGCGAACUGCUCAGUAACACGUAGUUAACAUGCCCUUAGGUUUUGUCUAAUCCCGGGAAACUGGGGCCGAGGACAAGAUAGGUAAGAGGUGCUGGAAUGCUCUUUUACUGAACUAAGGAUUGGACUGCGACUUAUCAGGCUGUUGCCAGUGUAAAGUACUGGCAAACCGAUAACGAGUACGGGCCUUGAGAGAGGAAGCCCGGAGAUGGAUUCUGAGACAUUAAUCCAGGGUCUACGGACUGCAGCAAGCGCGAAAACUUCUCAAUGCACGAAAGUGUGAAGAGGGGAUUCGGAGUGCUUCGGUUUUUACUGAAGCUUUUGCCAAGUUUAGAAAAUUUGGCGAAUAAGGGGUGGGCAAUACGGGUGCCAGCCGCCGCGGUAAUACCCGAGCCCCAAGUCGUGACCGCGUUUAUUGGGCUUAAAGGGUUCGUAGCCGGCCUUAUAAGUUCUUAGUGAAAUACCACAGCUAACUGUGGUGCUUGCUAGGGGUACUGUAAGGCUUGAGACCGGGAGAGGUUAAGAGUACUGCAAGGGUAGGGGUAAAAUCCUAUAAUCCUUGCGGGACUACCUGUGGCGAAGGCGCUUAACUGGAACGGAUCUGACGGUGAGGGACGAAAGCUAGGGGAGCAAAUGGGAUUAGAUACCCCAGUAGUCCUAGCUGUAAACGAUGCCCACUAGUCGUGAGAAAGUUCAAGGGAUUUUCUCAUGUCGUAGGGAAACCGUUAAGUGGGCCACCUGGGGAGUACGGCCGCAAGACUGAAACUUAAGGGAAUUGGCGGGGGAGCACACAAGGGGUGGAGGCUGCGGUUUAAUUCGAUUCAACACGAGAAACCUUACUAGCGGCGACAGCAGAAUGAAGGUCAGUCUAGAGGGCUUACCAGACACGCUGAGAAGUGCUGCAUGGCCGUCGUCAGUUCGUGCCGUGAGGUGUCGCGUUAAGUCGCGUAACGAACAAGACCCGCACUUUAUGUUGCUAAACAGAAAUGUUGCACACAUAAGGGACUGCCCGCGCUAAGUGGGAGGAAGGAGCGGUCGACGACAGGUCCGUAUGGUCUGAAUCCGCUAGGCUACACGCGGCCUACAAUGGUUGGGACAAUGGGAUGUGACUCCGUAAGGGGGAACCAAUCCUCAAACCCAAUCUCAGUCCAGAUCGAGGGCUGUAACUCGCCCUCGUGAAGUCGAAAUCCCUAGUAGUCGCUUGUCAUCAUCCAGCGGCGAAUACGUUCCUGCUCCUUGCACACACUGCCCGUCAAGCCAUCCGAGUGAAUCUCUGGCGAGCUUCCAGUUCUUGCUGGAAUCAAGUCAGAGUUUUGUGAGGAGGGCUAAGUCGUAACAAGGUA